rnacentral:lncRNA from 1 species
ACUUCGAUUUCACUAUUCACACGCGACCAAGUAAGCUUCGUUGAGUCAAAUUAAGGGACGGACCAUUAGAAAAGUGAUGGGGGGGGGGUAAAUUUUUUUUGUUUGCAUUUUUUUUCCAGGUUGUCAGCUGUGUAUGCAUGUUUUUUUUAAAUAUGUCUUCUCGCAUGCAAUUUUUUUCCAAUACAACUAUACAAAUGUUAACGAAACUGUUCUCUUGACAAAAAAUAUCCCUUUAAUACACACUGCAAAAUUAUAUCUUUAAGCACCAUAUAUGGACAAGUUUUCUAGGGGUCCAGAGCAUGCUCACCCGGAAAAUUUUUUAAUCUAAAUUCUCUGAAAUACCAUUUCCCGGACUUUGGGGAGAGAUUUUACAGAAUUCUGAUGGUCAGAAAACGCCAUUGUAACAUAUCAGAGGCCCUUGGCCAAUGUUUUUGCUCUAUAGCCUGAGCCUGGGGCCCCCCAUUUGCGGGCCCAUUGGGGUUGGGGGCCCCCGGAUUCUCCCAGUCCGAGCCCAUAGUAGUUACGCCACUGAGGACAGUGGCAGUGUGAAUGAGAAUUAAUUAUUAAAUACAAUAGAAAAUAUUUUGAUAGUAUAUAAUAAAACUACAUAAGAGUUACUGUUAAUAUUGAAAGAAAUUGCAUAUUAAUAUAUUAUAUAUUUUGAUAUAUUUAUAUUCUGAAAUAUUCCAAAGAUUUAGUUCAAUUUUGUCUGAUGUACAUUUAAAAUUAAAGUUAUAUUGUUGUUCUGUUUGUAAUUUUUUUUUUAAACAAGUCUGUUUGCAUGUAUUUUUUUUCAAACCUUUUUUGUUUGCAUGGAUUUUUUUCUGUUUUUUUCCCCACCCUCCCCAUCACUUUUCUAAUGGUCCGUCCCUAAGGAUCCACAUUAUUGAGAAAUCAUUAAAAAUCAGGUCUUUCCUGCAGUAAAUAAUCUUCAGAAUUAUGCAAAAUCUCUCCCCAGAAACACGGGAAAUCACCAUUGAGGGACUCCAGAUUUCAAAAUUUUCCCGGGGGAGAAUGCCCCCGGCCCCCCUAAAAAGGCUUACGGCUUUGGCGUUCUAAAUAUGCCCUCCCAAAAAUUAUAGUCUGGCUACACCACUGCAUUCACGGGUCACAAAAAUACCCUUUCCCACCCGGCUCAUUAAUAUCGCUCUGAUUCUGAAUAAAAAUCGCAGUUUAUAAUACGUAUUGGGAACACUGAUACGAUUGGGAAACGUGAGAAUUUGUAUAUAGAUGCCAUUACGCCAAUGCAAAAUGGGUUACACACUUUAAUACACUUGAUCCAAUUUUGAUUGGGGCUAUGGUCGACUACAUUUCGUAGACCAUAGCCACGUAUAAAAUGGGCCAAGUAUAAAAUUGGCCAACUAUAAAAUGGGCUGUGAUAGUUAUAUCAUAGAAUAGGAAGGUAUACCAGAAGUCUCACUCAAGCAAGUAUUUGUCCGCGUUUUUACAAGCGAUUCGUCCGAUCAUCAAUCACGCCAUCACUGCGCCAUCCUGGCUAGUACAACCGGCACUUUGUACCUAUCAAAACCUGAUAAAAACUUCCGGCUGUACUAUAGCCAGGAUGGCGUGAGCGAGUUAAAAUCACUGUGGUUAAAAUUUUCGUGGGUUGCACUUCUGGGGCCGGUUGUAUAAAAAAGUGAUUAAAGUUAACUAUAGUUAAGUGCGAACGUCAUCCAAUAAGAAGCGCCUAUUUGAGAGUUAAUCAUUAUUUAACUACAAAAUAGUGAUUAAAAAAGUGAUUAAGAGUUUUAUACAACCAGCCCCUGCUAUACUUUCCUAUUUUGUGGUUAUAUGCUGUAUAUUCAAAUACAUUCUUGAACCGGAAUAUAACCAUACGUGGUUAUUAUUGUUAACGCUAUAGUAAAAAUUAAAAAAAAUAUCGUGCACGCGGCAAGAUUCGAUAAAAAAAAUCGUGCGGAGUCGGUGAGGUCCAAAAAAAAAUCGAGCACUCUCAAAAAUGCGCCCCCCCCCCAUGAAAAAUCAAAUGGUCCGUCCCUUAGCUAUGUCCUGUGAAAAUUUGAGAAAAAUUGGUUAAAACCCGCAGGAGAACAACUCGUUUGUAAAUCAGUAAAUACCGUAAAAUUCUUCGGGAGAAAAUUGAUUUUGAAUAUUACAUUUUCAAUGUUUUUCUUAUUGCAGCGAAAUGUAUUUUAUUAAAUAACUCUGCGAGUUUUCAACAUUUUUCGAUGAAACUUGGUCAGAUAGUAGAACUAGUCUAAUGCUUUCAUGGAAACCAAUAAAAAAAAUUUUAGGCAAAAUUAACACUCAAAGGUGUUCUGUAACCUUAAA